UUAAACCACUCAUCACUAGAUUGAUUUCAAAUUUGAAAGAAGCAGAUCCAAAAGUAACAACCAUUUCACUCAGUAUAGGCCCCUCCAAAACAAUCAACAUAUGACAAUUCUUUGAUUUCCCAACAUUUUCUUUAAACCAAGAAAUGUUAAUCUUGCGACCAGUUCUUGAAAUUAACAAAUGCAUACAAGUGAAUCAGAAAAGAAUAUUUUAAAAUAAAAAAGAUAAACUCGCCUGCAUUUAACUCUCUUUGACAUUUCCAGCAGUGCAUUCUUAUUGAAAAACAUAAUAAAGUACAUAUUGACCACUUGAUAGACAACUCUCCCAAGAUAAACAAGCUUGUUCCUGUAUACGCUAUCUACACCAGUCACCAGCCAGUCACAAAUAAUUUCCAGGGUCUAUCAUACCUGAUCUGGAAUUUCCAGCAUGCAACAGGUAUAAGCCUUUCUAAAUAGAUUAAUUUCACAGUUGUGGCUCUGUCAUCCACAAAGACACCGAUACACAGGUCUCAAAUGGGAUAACUGCAUAGGAAUUAAGGGUGCACAUUGCUCCAGGUCAACCUGAGAACCAAACCAAAUCAAUUUCAUUGGGUCAGUUUGGUUCAGGUUUAAACAUAUAUUGGUUAAGUUUGAGUAAUCUUUUUGAAAAAUCUUAUUGGAACCCUGAUCAUGAGAUUGGGAAACCCAGUCAAAGCUCAAACCAAACUGAUAUAUAUUAUAUAUUAUAUUUAGUUAUAAAACUUAAUAUAAUAUAUGAAGUUCAUAGCAUGACAUACAAACCUCAUGCUAUUACCUCUUGUUUACAUCAAGCAAAUUGCCAUGUGCA
rnacentral:lncRNA from 1 species